rnacentral:rRNA from 1 species
GACGAACGCUGGCGGCGUGCUUAACACAUGCAAGUCGAACGGAAAGGCCCUGCUUUUGUGGGGUGCUCGAGUGGCGAACGGGUGAGUAACACGUGAGUAACCUGCCCUUGACUUUGGGAUAACUUCAGGAAACUGGGGCUAAUACCGGAUAGGAGCUCCUGCUGCAUGGUGGGGGUUGGAAAGUUUCGGCGGUUGGGGAUGGACUCGCGGCUUAUCAGCUUGUUGGUGGGGUAGUGGCUUACCAAGGCUUUGACGGGUAGCCGGCCUGAGAGGGUGACCGGCCACAUUGGGACUGAGAUACGGCCCAGACGCCUACGGGAGGCUGCAGGGGAGAAUAUUGCACAAUGGGCGGAAGCCUGAUGCAGCAACGCCGCGUGCGGGAUGACGGCCUUCGGGUUGUAAACCGCUGUCGCCGGUGACGAAGCGUGAGUGACGGUAAUGGGUAAAGAAGCACCGGCUAACUACGUG